UACGUAGGGUGCAAGCGUUUGUCCGGAAUUAUUGGGCGUAAAGAGCUCGUAGGCGGCUUGUCGCGUCGUUCGUGAAACCUGCAGCUCAACUGCAGGCUUGCGGUCGAUACGGGCAGGCUGGAGUUCGGUAGGGGAGACUGAAAUUCCUGGUGUAGCGGUGAAAUGCGCAGAGUAUCAGGAGGAACACCGGUGGCGAAGGCGGGUCUCUGGGCCGAUACUGACGCUGAGGAGCGAAAGCGUGGGGAGCGAACAGG
rnacentral:rRNA from 1 species